UUAAUAAGGAAUGAGAACCAUGAAUGAGAAACUGAAAAGACUAGAAUGUGUAAUUGCACAUUUUUGAUAGCGCUUCCCACCUUCUGUCCAUUCAGAGUCCAGAAUAAAGGCCCACAAAGAUCAACAAUUUCUGUCUGCCACCUGAUAUGACACCCCUUCUGAUGCUUUGCUGCCAUGUCCAUCUCACUGCUGAACAGCACUGGAGACUAAAGACAGGAAGUUUGAACAGCCCAUCAACACAGCCUGCCGAGCAGUCAUUUUGGUCUGUGCACUCCCACCAAUCAGAGACAGCAACAAGGAGGAGGUGCCUUUUGACAAACUUGCUUGCACUUUCACUCUUAUGGGAAGAAACUGGCAGAGCAUCCGUGAGGCACUGUGAACAUUGUGGUGGUGCUUUCUGUCCCACCAAAGGUACCUGACGGAUUUCCUGAUGGUGCUUCAGGAGGAGGAAGAGGAGGCAGGAGUACCCUGGUAUUGCAGACUCUCACAGGUUGAUGCUGCUGAGCAGAAUUGGCAUAGCCACUGAUGCUCCCUACUAUGCCCUCAUGCGGACCUGGGAUGACCAGCAGUGAGUCCAGAACUUUCUUAUGAAGAAGGCCACAUUUCUGGAGCUUUGUGAGCAGCUUGCCCCCACCCUCCACUGUAAAGAGACACAUCUGAGGUCACUCUUCCCAGUCCAAAAGCAAGUUGCUAUAACUGUCUAGAAGCUGCUACCCCAGAUGGCUACAGGUCUGUUGCCAAACAGUUUGGUGUAGGAAAGUUGACGGUAGGUAAAGUGGUGGCGGAGGUUUCUGAGGCCAUCAGGUGUAUGGUUUACCUCAAGGUGGUGGGCAUUAAAAAUAUUCUAGAGGUAAUCAUUGGCUUUGAGAGAAUGGGGUUUCCUGACUGUGAUGGGUCUGUUGAUAGGACUCAUGUGUGCAAGGAGCACAUGAGUACAUAAAUCACAAAGAGUACCACUCUAUGCAGGCACUAGUGGACCACAGGGUCAGAUUUAUGAAUGUCAAGUGGGCCCUACAGGAAGAGUUCAUGGUGCCAGAGUUUUUUGCCCCCAGGAAUCUACAUUCAUGGACAGGCUGGGACACUAUUCCUACCAAAUGACAUGGACAUAAAUAGUGUUACUGUUCCCACUGUUCUGGGGGACCCCAUGUACCCCCAUUUGACUUGGUUUGUUACUGUACUCUGAUUUGAGGCCCUGCAAAAAAAAAUUGUUGCACUCUCGGCAGGUGUAGAAUGGUUGUUGUGUGUGCUUUUGGCAGAUUGAAAUCACAUUGGAGGUGUCUACAAACCCAUUUGGAUGCCAGUGUCAUCUAUACUGCCCGCAUUACUGUGGCUUGCUGUGCUCUUCACAACCUUUGUGAAGCCAGAGGGAGCCAUUUCCCCCCUGAACAGACCUAUGACAGCCAGGGGUCACUGGAUCGGUACCUCAGCCAGAAAGUACAGCUACCACUGUGGGAACUGAUUGCACUGGGCAGAAGAAGUUGGGGUGCUUUGUGUUCUCACAUUGUGGUCUUGCAUGGCCAAAUGGCAGAGGGGGAAUA